rnacentral:rRNA from 1 species
GCCUGCAUGAAGUUGGAAUUGCUAGUAAUCGCGAAUCAGAAUGUCGCGGUGAAUACGUUCCCGGGCCUUGUACACACCGCCCGUCACACCAUGAGAGUCGAUAACACCCGAAGCCUGUGAGCUAACCUUUUAGGAGGCAGCAGUCGAAGGUGGGGUUGAUGAUUGGGGUGAAGUCGUAACAAGGUAAC